rnacentral:rRNA from 1 species
AUGCCACAACCUGAUCCAAAUAGUCUAGAGAAACGGAACUAUGACCCCGAGAGAGCUCAUUGGGAGUUGGUGAGGAUGAUUUUUGUUCAUGAAUUGCCAUUCUCUUUUGUGGAAUACGAGGGAUUUAGAAGAUUUGUGUACAGUCUAAAUCCCACAUUUGAGGUGGUGUCUAGGACGACAAUAAGAGUUGAUUGCCUCAUGCUAUUUCAUGAACAAAGGGAAAAUUUUUGA